GGGGAUGUGGCUCAGUGGUAGAGCGCUUACUAGCAAGUAGGAGGCCCUGGGUUCAAUCCUCAGCACUACA
rnacentral:tRNA from 1 species